rnacentral:lncRNA from 1 species
AUAUAUCUGACGCAAUAAAUAUGUUGAGUAGUUUAAAAAAUGUAAAUAACAAUGCUAAUAAUGACAAUUUUGGUUAUACAGGAAUUGUAGGUAAUUAUUCCAAGUCAUUAACUACGAAUAUUGAUUCUAAGGAAUGUACAUAUGACAACGCUAUACGCGAUAACAUGCAUAUAAAUAGAAAAAAUUAUAAUAUAACAUCAAAUGAGCAAUUGAUAAAUAACAACCAAUCAAUUAAAACACUAAAUGAAAGUUUUAACAAAAUUAAAAACUAUUCAAAUAAAAUAAAUUCUGAUGUUUAUCCAACCCAUUCCAAUAUCCAUAGUGGCUAUUCAGAUACACCUAAACCAGAUAGUAAUAGUGGUAUGUAUGAUUUUAUUUUUAAAAAUGAUGGGUAUAAUAGUAAUAAAAACUAUACUAAUAACAAUACUAAUGACAACAUUGAAGUAAAUACAUAUACUGAUACAGAUGCUUUAUAUAUCAAUAAAAAUGCAUAUAAUAACGACUUAUUAUCACACAGAUUUAACAAUCCAAAACAAAUGCAAAAAAUAAAUGACAAUACCCUAGUUAAAGAUCCUUUUGAAUUUGAUGAUACUUAUAAUAAUGGACAGAAGGAGAAGGACGAGGAAAAUGAUAACAAGGUAAAAGUAAACCGAAUGGAAGGAAAAGAAAACAAAAUUAACAAUUAUGAAGAAUAUAAAGAUUUACUUAUUAAUAAUAAAACGAAUGUAAAUCAAAAUAUAACAGUCGAUAAAAAAAGAGGAUAUAUUACGAAUUUGUUACAUAAGACAUUUAACAAAUUCGUACCAAAUAUGAGCACAUAUGACGAGGUAAGUACAGCAAUAACUGGAGCACAAACUGAAGAAGGUACAAUUAAUAUACGUAAUAUAACAAAUAAUGGAAAUAAUAGAAAUAGUGGAAAUAAUGUAAAAACUGGAAAUAACAAUUUUAAUAAUAAUAACAUAAUAUAUAACAAAAUAAAUAUAAAUGACCUAUUGGAUAACAUUUUCGAAAGAUAUAAACCGUUUGAGCAGAUUAAAGAAAAUCAUAAGGAAAACAUAACAUAUAUAUAUCCCCCAUCAACCAUCUAUAAAGAUAAUGAAAUUACUAAAAAUGAUUUGAUAAUAAAAUUUAAUUGUCACAAAUAUGAAAAUAUAUCUUUAUUUUUAAAUUAUAAGACUACAAGUCCUAAUUUAAUGGAAACAAAAACCAAU